rnacentral:rRNA from 1 species
UUGGAGGGCAAGUCUGGUGCCAGCAGCCGCGGUAAUUCCAGCUCCAAUAGCGUAUAUUAAAGUUGUUGCAGUUAAAAAGCUCGUAGUUGAAUUUCGGGAUUGACGUGAUGGUCAUGCCUUAAGGGGUAUGAACUGUCACAGUUGAUUUCUCACCUUCUGGAGAAACUUGAUGUCCUUUAUUGGGUGUCUUGCGGAUCCAGGACCUUUACCUUGAAAAAAUUAGAGUGUUUAAAGCAGGCAUUUUUGCUCGAAUACAUUAGCAUGGAAUAAUAGAAUAGGACGGCAUGGUUCUAUUUUGUUGGUUUCUAGGAUCACCGUAAUGAUUAAUAGGGAUAGUUGGGGGCAUUAGUAUUCAAUUGUCAGAGGUGAAAUUCUUGGAUUUAUUGAAGACUAACUACUGCGAAAGCAUUUGCCAAGGAUGUUUUCAUUAAUCAAGAACGAAAGUUAGGGGAUCGAAGACGAUCAGAUACCGUCGUAGUCUUAACCAUAAACUAUGCCGACUAGGAAUCAGACGAUGUUAAUUUUUUAAUGACUCGUUUGGCACCUUACGGGAAACCAAAG